CGCUGCGGCGGCUUAAUACAUGCAAGUCGUACGGUAGAGAUUCUUUCGGGGAUCUUGAGAGUGGCGCACGGGUGCGUAACGCGUAUGCAACCUACCUGUUACAGGGGGAUAGCCCGGGGAAACCCGGAUUAAUACCCCAUGGUAUAUAGAGACCGCAUGGUUUUUAUAUUAAAGAUUCAUCGGUAACAGAUGGGCAUGCGUAGGAUUAGCUAGUUGGUAAGGUAACGGCUUACCAAGGCUGCGAUCCUUAGGGGUUCUGAGAGGAAGGUCCCCCACACUGGUACUGAGAUACGGACCAGACUCCUACGGGAGGCAGCAGUAGGGAAUAUUGGGCAAUGGACGGAAGUCUGACCCAGCCAUGCCGCGUGCAGGAAGACGGCCUUAUGGGUUGUAAACUGCUUUUAUCAGGGAAGAAAAAGGCCAUGCGUGGCAAAUUGCCGGUACCUGAUGAAUAAGCACCGGCUAACUCCGUGCCAGCAGCCGCGGUAAUACGGAGGGUGCAAGCGUUGUCCGGAUUUAUUGGGUUUAAAGGGUGCGUAGGCGGGUUAAUAAGUCAGCGGUGAAAGUCCAGUGCUCAACACUGGAAUUGCCAUUGAUACUGUUAAUCUUGGAGUGUCGAUGGGGUACAUGGAAUUUANGGGGUGUAGCGGUGAAAUGCAUAGAUACCAUAAGGAACACCGAUAGCGAAGGCAUUGUACUUAUCGAUAACUGACGCUGAGGCACGAAAGCGUGGGUAGCGAACAGGAUUAGAUACCCUGGUAGUCCACGCCGUAAACGAGAUUACUCGCUGUUAUGCCUAUAAG
rnacentral:rRNA from 1 species